rnacentral:sRNA from 1 species
UUUUAACUUUUUAAGCGAUGAGUCACAAGAGCAUAAAGGAGCUCCACCUGCUCUCUGAGUGCCUCCUGCCAAGCUGCUAGUAGUGCUGAGAGGGCAUCUCAAUGACUCAAAGAAGCAAAAGCAGAGAAUUCAAAGAACUUCCCAGAUUGGCAAUGAGAGGAGGAUCGAUUCUUUGCUAUAUUGUUCCCUGUAUUAUAUAAUUACUUAAGUUGGAGGAGACCUUCAUAUAGUUUGUUUAUCACUAUCUAUACCUUUUUGUAUGAAUUAUAUGAUGAACGUAUGGAACCGCAAUCUGUCUUCUCGUCACAUUCCAGUCACAAUAACGGGAUGUAAAAGGAACAGUAAAUGGCAAAAGGAGAAAUUAGGUUAACAUCUUUUUUUUUGCUACUCUAUUGAUUAAA